rnacentral:rRNA from 1 species
UACGGAGGUCCCAAGCGUUACUGAGAAUCACUGGGCUUAAAGGGCGCGUAGGUGGUCCGUUAAGUCAGUUGUGAAAUCCCCGGGCUCAACCCGGGAACUGCUUCUGAUACUGGCGGACUUGAGGCCAGUAGGGGUCACUAGAACUGACGGUGGAGCGGUGAAAUGCGUAGAUAUCGUCAGGAAUGCCGGUGGUGAAGACGGGUGACUGGGCUGGCUCUGACACUGAGGCACGAAAGCGUGGGGAGCGAACGGG